rnacentral:misc_RNA from 1 species
AACUGAUACUACCUGCGGGAACCUGCGGAAGGAUCAUUACAGGACUCGCAAGACUCCUACAACCCUGUGAACUUAACUAUAAGCACGUUGCUUCGGCGGGUGUCUCGGCGAGGGUUCUCCCUCCCCGGGGCGCUAAGCCCGCCGGCAGCCUACUAUACUCUGUCUCUUUGCGUUGGCAUCUCGAGUACAAACAAACAAGUUAAAACUUUUAACAACGGAUCUCUAGAUCGGAAGAGCACA